AGAGUUUGAUCCUGGCUCAGGAUGAACGCUAGCGACAGGCCUAACACAUGCAAGUCGAGGGGCAGCAUGGUGUCAGCUUGCUGAUACCGAUGGCGACCGGCGCACGGGUGAGUAACGCGUAUGUAAUCUACCUGUAACAGAGGGAUAACCCGGAGAAAUCCGGACUAAUACCUCAUAGUACAUAUUAUUCGCAUGAGUUUUAUGUUAAAGAGAUUCGGUUACAGAUGAACAUGCGUUCCAUUAGCUGGUUGGCGGGGUUACGGCCCACCAAGGCAACGAUGGAUAGGGGUUCUGAGAGGAAGGUCCCCCACACUGGUACUGAGACACGGACCAGACUCCUACGGGAGGCAGCAGUGAGGAAUAUUGGUCAAUGGGCGAAAGCCUGAACCAGCCAAGUCGCGUGGAGGAAGACGGCCCUACGGGUUGUAAACUUCUUUUACCUGGGAAUAACGGGCGCUACGUGUAGCGCUGUGCAUGUACCAGGCGAAUAAGCAUCGGCUAAUUCCGUGCCAGCAGCCGCGGUAAUACGGAAGAUGCGAGCGUUAUCCGGAUUUAUUGGGUUUAAAGGGUGCGUAGGCGGAAGGAUAAGUCAGCGGUGAAAUGCUUCAGCUCAACUGGAGAAUUGCCGAUGAAACUGUUUUUCUAGAGUAUAAAAGAGGUAUGCGGAAUGCGUGGUGUAGCGGUGAAAUGCAUAGAUAUCACGCAGAACCCCGAUUGCGAAGGCAGCAUACUGGGCUAUAACUGACGCUGAAGCACGAAAGCGUGGGUAUCGAACAGGAUUAGAUACCCUGGUAGUCCACGCCGUAAACGAUGAAUACUAACUGUUUGCGAUAUAAUGUAAGCGGUACAGCGAAAGCGUUAAGUAUUCCACCUGGGGAGUACGCCGGCAACGGUGAAACUCAAAGGAAUUGACGGGGGCCCGCACAAGCGGAGGAACAUGUG
rnacentral:rRNA from 1 species